rnacentral:tRNA from 1 species
GGGGCUGUGGCUCAAGCAGUAGCGCACUCGCCUGGCAUGCGUGCCGCCAGGGUUCAAUCCCUCAGCACCA